rnacentral:misc_RNA from 1 species
AACAUCGCGCACCUGCGGGAACCUGCGGAAGGAUCAUUACAGAGUUGCAAGACUCCCUAAACCAUUGUGAACCUACCUUCUACCGUUGCUUCGGCGGGCGGGCCCAGCGCCCCCCCGGCCCCCCGCGGGCGCCCGCCGGAGGAUACCCAAACUCUUGACAUUAGUGGCCUCUCUGAGUAUUCUUUACUGAAUAAGUCAAAACUUUCAGCAACGGAUCU